UGAAACCGCAGGCGCCGAACCAGUGGGGAAGUUGACGUGACCCCAGUGGUUCCGCCCCCUCGGUCCACCCCCCGCUGGGCCAUGCGGACUCCACGCUGUCAGGACGAGCCUUUCAGCGAGCGGUUCGUCCAGACCAACGGGACGCAGCGGGGCGACGCUGUAGACGCACGAGGCUAACGUGACGUUUCCGUUAUCGCUAAAUUCCCAGAAGCGCACGUGUAGCGUUCCGAGGAGAACGUCUCAGCGGAGGCGCGCGGGAACCAAACGACGCUCUGCCGGAGGAACCUACGACACUCCAGCACGAAGCGGUUCACUAAUCAUCCCCGACUGUCGAGUGAAGCGACGGACUGCGCCGAAAUGGACGCUGCGUUCCCUACCUGCGCUAUUCCCGCAGCUGCCUACACCGCGACCACCCCUGCGUCCGCCGGCGCGGAUGGUUUGUUCCGGGCAGGAGCGGCGGCGAGAGCGAGGGGGGGGGGGGGCUGUUGCCCAGAGUUACCGCCUCGGUCCAAACAUGCAGCGGCGCUAAGUUCGGCUCUAAGCGGCACGAAAGCGUAUAUAACACACGAAGAGGUUACGAAACGAGCCCCACGGCGUCACGGGGCAAUUUAAAUAUUACAAAACACAAAGCUUUUCUACUAUUUGAACUUUGUUUAGAGGAACGUGUAGGUUGACUCUUGACAACACGUUUAAGUAUAAUAUUAAUAAAAAUAACAAGUUAUUUAUGUGUGACAAUUUAGCAUGUGUAACAAGCAACACGUGAAAAGUUUCAUUUCUCUUUCGGAUUUGGAUCCACCUCCGACUGUGACGUCAUCCUGCAACAACGGAUAAAGGUUCCUGUCCGCCAGAAAUAAUAAAAAUAAUGAUAAUAAUAAUAAUAAUAAUAAUAAUAAUAAUAAUAAUAAUAAUUGGGGGGCAGAAGAACCAUUUUUAAUUUUACACACAUUAGUUUUUAACAACAAAAGAAGAGCACAACAUUACUGAAAAUAUACUUAAGCUAACGAAAUAUAAUAUCUGUCUAACAUGGGUGACAUGGUGACAGGGCACUGUCACACAAUCCACUGUGUUUGUCCCUGCAUUACUGCAUGUCACCUGAACACUGUAUACCAACAAUGGUCACAUGGCAACACAGCGUCUAUAGAUACAGGAUGCUGUUUAACCACAGUCAAAUACGCCACUGGUGAAACUGGAGCCCCAUGAUGUCGACUGUGCCCUGCUAACAGUCUGGCCAACUUAAGCAUCUCGGCCACCUCCAGCAGCUCGCGGCGUUUUUAACGGGCUGUGUCACUGCCGGUGCUCGUUCAGCUGAGCAUUUAUAGCCGCAGUUAAAAAAGGGCCAGUCUCCAGCUAAAACGCUGCUCCAAAAACCACAUUCCACUGCUAAAACUUAAUAGGCCACAUUACUAUGUGCAUAAAUCAUGUUAAAAAGCGCUUUACUUCAACCUAUGGACAUAAGGACACUUCUGUUGCUCUGUUUCAGCCUAGAGGAUCAUGAAGUCGCCACGAAAUGCAGAACGAGCCAUGAAGUCAGCGUGUGACCAGUGACCAUGUCUCCUCUGGUUGCCUCUGGUUUCAUUUACUUCCAAGAAGUCUGAAGCCGAGCCUGAGACCAGGUUCUGAAGACCAGCAAAGACCAACAUGACCGAGAAGCUGUUUUCGUAUGUGACAGACAUGAAUAUUGGCAGCCUUUCACCUUUGUGCUGGCAAUGACUCAGCUUUUUUGUGUCUGCUCGAAGUGACCCGCAGCCCGGCGAGGCCUCGUCUCUGCGCGAGGGUCUGGACCGGCGUGUCCGACGCGACGCGACGCGAGAUGCGUUUGGGAAGCCCGGGCCCGGAGCAGACCACCGCAGGCUGUGAACCGAGGCCAAGGCCAGACGCCGGGCAGCCAGAUGUGGGGGCGAGCAGCAGCCGUGCCUGCGGCGGAGCUGCACUAGCUGACCGGGACCUACGCGCGCACACAGUGACACGAACAACCAUUUUUUCCUGGGCUGUGUUGAGAGACAGCGGAGGAACUGCCGACUCGUGUGUUUCGCGAGGCGCUCUGUGUGACACAAGAAAGUCCUGGCAGCCUGGUGGGAUGCAACAACGGUCCCUGUAGGCCGGGAUGCAGCUGCUUGGCUCCAGCAGAAUCACCCACUGAGCUCUCCGGUUGUAGUCGAUGCUUAUCCACCACCACCCCUCGUACGGCUGGAAUUCAUCACCAGAUAUGGAACUUUUUGGAGGUUUGUACUAAAAUUAAUUUAUUUGGGUAAGUCACAAACUGAACUUUUUAUUAUUGCUGUUGUAUUUCAUUUUUAAUGAUGAUGAUUAGAUCUUAAUGCAGUAGAGCUGGUAUGCUGAAACACAAUACGUCCCUGCAGACACCACUCAAGCUCUACACCGAACACACACUCCUUCAGCUCCCACUCAGACAGCUCCGCCUGCUGUGCAGCCACCAAACGCUGUCCACUGGCUCCUUGCAGCAUCCCUUUGCUCAGCUUGCCCCCUGCAGGACAAUGAGGGAACUGCAGGCGAGGAGUGUCGAGCACCCCCAAAAAGGGGAACAAACACCAGGGGGCAAAAAGGAGCCGCUUGCUUGAAAGUAGGGCAGCCCAUGAUGAAAACUCUGUUCAGGGGCAUUUCUUUACUUUGCCUUUUAAGUCUCAAUGUGUAUGUUUCCAUCCUAUUGUUUCAUAUGGCUGAAAUUUGCACUUAAAUAUAGCCCAAGCUAAGUAAGAAAUGGUGAUGCAGUAUGUGGAUGGCUGUUGUGAAAGUUUUGUGUCAUACUCCUAAAACAUUAUUUACUUUACAAUAUUAAUUAUUUUAAAUAAAUUGCUCCCUAUACGCCACAUCUCCCAGAUUCAGCUUUAACCUGGAGGCACUUGUGCUUCCAUAUCCUCAGGAAUGUGUAGCAGUGUGUAUAUCCCGCCUGCAACUCACACACAAGCUAAUAUCAUAGAGAUGCCAGUCUCUUCUCCCACGAGCCAGAAUGUGGGGUGCACACGUCAUUGCAUGGAUCAAAGCACCUGUCAAAAAGAUAGUAAUAUGACACAUUGUUUUUGGCCAGAAACUACAUUUUUAGCAGGGGAGGGGAGGAGGAAACCCACUAACACACACACACACACACACACACACACACACACACACACACACACACACACACACACACACACACACACUAGUGGUAGAUGGCUGCCUGGUCUGACGCUGGGUGGGUGAAGCUGUAAUAGAUAAAGCAGGACAGAUUGGAAAACCACACCUAUCUGAGACAUGGAGAGGAAGGCCAGGGCAGCGAAAGGGCCGCAAAGCCUCAAAUGGGAGAAACAGGUGAGUUAACGUGUGUGUGCGUGUGUGUGUGUGCGUGUGCGUGUGUGUGUGUGUGUGUGUGCGCGUGUGGGAUUCUUCUAGGGCAAGGUAAUGAAUGGCUAAAGGAGGAAUGCUGGCUUAACAGGACAAGUAAGUGCUAAUAAAAAGAAAAGAAGGGAGCUCAAUAAUCCCAAAAUGAGGGGUCAAUAGGAAGACACUUCAUGCCCUCACCUCUACCUCACCCGUCAACUCGUUAUUCAAAACAAAGACUUCUGCUCACAAAGUCUAAGAUUAUGCACAUCCCUGCGGGACAUAUAGACACAAUAUGUACAUCUAUGCAAACACACACAUGCACACACUGCACAGAGUAGCUCACAUGCUAUCAAAGCCCUCAUUGUUUCUCUCCUUAUCACUUUCCUCUCUGCUGUUUUUCUCUUCCUGCACUCUCUUACCUGCCCUUAUCUCCUCUCCCUUUCAUCUCGGGAGAGGCCUCGGAGCGCGGGAGACAAAGAGAACAGAGGAGGAGGAAAGAAGGAGCAGCAACAAGAGGGCAUGAGAGGAGAUGAGGAGAAAAGGAGAGUAGGUCGCCUUAUCUGAGAGACGCCACACACACACACACACACACACACACACACACACACACACACACACACACACACACACACACACACACACACACACACACACACACACACACACACACACACACAGGGGCCAUUGUUCUGAGGUUUUUGCGGCGGAGCCCUGUGAUCACCAAGGCUGAGUCUAAUGAACGUGUGGCCUCUCUCUUUCUUCCUCUCCCCUCUUUUCAUCUCCUCCCCGACUUGUCUCCCGCCAUUCACUGAGCCCUCUUCCUCCUUGUCUUCCUGAGCUCCUCUAGCCCCCCCCAUCAACAGGAGAUUUCCACAGGAGGCCUAAUUGCAGCGGCAGCGUAAGUGCAUGCAUUUAAAGCGCGGAUGGCUCCAAGGGGAAUCCAGCGACUUACUUUCAAAUUGUUAAGUCCCUGCUACAUUCUCCUGAGAAUCAACUGAGGGGUAGCACGGGGAGCUGGAGCUCCACAUGGAGCGUGCGUUGACAAAGAUGAAGGUUUCUCAUAGCCAAGAGAAAGGCUGCAGACACAAACGGCUACAAGAAAACCAUACCCUGUUUUAUUACGGGUAACUGAAGGAGAGCGUAAUAUAAAAUCCAGCAUCACUAGGCCACACAAAGAGUUUGAAUGAAGUUAACCCACUGCUGCGUGCCUUCCAACUCCCGCUGAAACAGCUGGCCACUUACACGUCCUGAGCUCUAGCUCCGACACAUGCAGAUGUUCUGUUAGAGGAGGUUAGUGCAUCAACAACACAUGUGCUAAUUAGCAAAGCUGCUCCGUGUUCCAAGUUCACACAUUUAACUCGCAGCGAUGACGCAGCUGGGUUGGACCGCGCCGCACUACUCCACCGACGGCCUGAACUAGUCCGAGCCUCUCGCCGGGUGCGCAUUUCCUCAUCACUGGCAUGCACAGUGGAACAGGACGGGGCAACAGAAAAACGUCGCGUGACUCAGAGAUACAGGAUUAUUCCAGAAACUGAUUGUUCGUGAAACAGUGAAAACAGUUCAAGCAGCACGCAGUUCGAGGUUCACAGCCAAGAGGUUUUGACAUCCACUGAGCAGCUCCACGAACGCAGCAGCGCCUCGUCUCCCAAAUUCCCAAAGGAGGAAUGUUGCAGGAUCAUCAGCAGAAUGUUUCUGGGAUCCUUAAUGAAGACAUGCUGGCGUUGCCAUGGCAAGCGCUCACAUGGAGACGGGAUCCUUCCAUCCCUAUUGUUUUCAAAGUGCUACGGUGGCAGCACUGGAGGUACAGUAUGUGGAGGUACUGCUGCUUUACAAGGUUCUUGGAAAGUAUGUGUGAAUAUGCGCUGUGUUCACACACACACACUUACUCACAGUGUCGCUAUGGAGACAGAUAAAUGUUGUGUAUGUGUGUGUUUGGGAAUGGUCAAGGAUCAGUCCUCCAUGAUGUAAUCAAUAUGUUUGAUCCUUGACCCCCAACCUAAACUACCCGGAACCUGUUUUUUGGCAAUGGAGCAACUACAAGCUGGGAAGUCCUGCUUGACCUUUUUGACCUCUUCAUUUCGCAUGACUACGGGAGUGAUGCUGCUGCACCUUGUGAAGAUCUGUGAAUGUAAAGAGAGCCAUACAUUUUCUGCAUUGCUGUAUGUAUUGUUGAACAAUGGAGCAAAAGCAGAGGCCUGCACUAUCAAAAGGUCCAGCAGUCUGUCCUGGCUUAGUCUAAGCAAAAAUUCAGCAAGUGAUGAACUUCUAUACACUAUAGACAAGCAGAAAAAUAAUGAUUGCUGUCCAAAGGUCCUGUUCCUGUAAAAAGAUGUAUAAAAUACUAUAAAAGAGAAAAAAACAACCAGGAAUUUCACUCACUAGUAAAUAUUAAAUAGCGCAGAGACACAGUAAGUGGCUGUGGUUGGUACCUGUGUGGUGCUGUGUACUCUUCAUACAAAGGCUACACUCCAGGUCCACCCAUUCCCAGAAUCUGCCAUGCACUGAGGAGUGGGCCCGUCCCCUGAUCACACACUCAAACGCACAUACACACACACACUCAUUACACUCAUUGACCCAGAAAGCAACAGAAAAAGAAAGCUGCUUCUUGUGUUCUUUUUGAGCCAUGUAGACGAUUCUCAUAACAAAGUGCUAAGGCUGGCACUGCUAACACAUCUGCCGUCCAAGGUAAAUUGCAGUCUGCCAAGUGAAUGGCACAGAGUUUGUUUUCAGUCAGGCACCUAGAUAUGACUUCAGGGGCUUUACGGUUUUGAGACGUACUGUACAUAUUUGUGUCAGUAUCUGCAUCUUUGUUUUUAUCAGUUCACAUGGUUAUACACUAUUUUAGCAGCACAUUUGUUAAGCAAAUUAAUUAAUGCAAUUAAUAAUAAUGGUAAAUAUUAAUUAAAUGCAAAUAAUAAAAUGCAUGAAUGACUUUGCUCUACUGUAUGUGUGAUGAUAACAUAAGUUAAAGACCCGCUGUGUUUCUGGGCCACAUGCACAACACACAGGCCACGGCAGUGACAAACAAACCAUCACACUGGGUAUUUAUACUUGCCGAAAUAGCCACUCACACUUUAAACGGAAUCACCUUGCCCACCAAACAUUCCACACCAACAAGCGAGCACUUUGAACGAGGCGCCAUCUGCCUCCUUGACUGCUGGGAAGUCUAUACGGACAUCAUCAUGACCCUCCGCACCACCCCGACCGCGUCUGAAACCGACCCUGUCAAGCCGCUGUCAAAUACUGUACCACUCAGCAAAUCCAGCAAGGUGGAAAAAAAGACAGAUGGGAACUGGAAGAAUCUGUAUUUUCAAAUUUUUCUGGAUUUUACUGGUAAUGGUAAAGUAGCACUUGUUUCCAAAGAGCAAGAAUGUUUUAUUUUUGUGGGGUUUUGCCUUUUGUACGUCACACACUGCUUUCAUUUACAUAAAAGUUACUCAAUGAAGAUGUUGAGCUUGAAAACAGAACCAUCUCGAUCUCAAAAACAAAAGCACUUUUUAAUAACAGAUUUCCCAGAAUCAGACACAUUGGACUGGAAAUGCCACAUCAUUCUUUCUGUUGCAGAUGACUUGAUGAUGGCAGAACUUCUGGGUCAAGCCAAAUGUCAGUGGAAAGACCCAGUGAUGGAGUAAAUAUGUGCCUUUAACUUUACAAGAGUGUGCUUCUAUAUCGCCACUACUCAAAUCUACAGUAUAAUACGAUGCAGGUCUAUCCCAUGAUUGCUAUAGUGGGACAUGUAAUUUGUUUAUUUUGGCUUUAAGGAUCCCACUUCUUACAAUAAUUACUGUAAAUGUGAGAGUACUUUGGCUAUUGGUUGCUUUAACAAACAACAAACACUCAAAAGUAUUUCCUGUUUAUCACUAAGCAUGUAGACCAUCUGAGCAAUUUUAGGUAAUGUCCCUGACGUAGGGCUGUUAAUAGUGAGGAACAAUAAACACAGACUAAAGUUUUACUGCACUUUACUGGAAACGGGGUUGAAACAACACUACAGGUUAUGCAGAACAAAUCAACACCAUUACAAAAAAGGAUGCUGUGCGUGAAUAUGUUAAGAUGAACAUACCAUAACAUGUAAUAAAUAAACUAACGGUAAUAAAUGGAUGCUGCUGGAUGCUACAGUAAAACAUGACAAUUAGCAUCUCGUAUAAAGCACGACUGAGAUUAAAUGAUGGUGAGAAGCAACUUGGGCAAAGCUUGACAGAUUUCCACAAAGCUGCAUAAGUUGAAGCACCGACAUCCCCUGUUCUUACAGUUAGUGAAAGUGAGAUGAUAACAGCUUUAUUAUAAAGUGGGAUUUGAUAUAAAGCUUGUGCUA